ACAGUAUGUAAAUACUCGUAUCUUUAUUUUUCAACAGUGCUCCUUUGAUAGGAAUAACCUAUUUAGCUUGUAUCCCUAUCCCAAUUGUUGGAAGGCACCAAGCAACAAUUUAGAUUAACCCUUACGGUCGAUAUGGCAGAAUUUAUCUUGAAGAAUUUGAGAACUGGUAACAUACACUGCAACAGUAUGUCUUUUGAUGACUCUACUGGGUGAUGCUUCAGGUAUCAAAGAUGACGGCUUCAGAAAUGUCUGGAGCGAAGAAAUGAAAGUAUUCAGGUGAAUAUAUCAAGUAUGGCUUCACUGUCACAGAGAGGAAUAGAAUUCAUCUCCCUCAGUGUGUCAUAUGCCAUGCAGUCCUCAGCAAUGACGCCUUAAGACCUGGUCGUCUGGAGCGACAUUUGAGCACAAACCACAAAGCAUUAAAAGAAAAGCCAAAGGAGUUCUUCACAGCCAAACUGCAUGAGCUGAAUCAUAUGAAGCUGGACUCAAGCAGUGUUUUUCAUCAAGAAGCGUGGAAACUGGUGGAAGCAUCUUAUGAGCUGUCACUACUUAUUGCAAAAGCAAAGAAGCCUCACUCUGUGGGUGAGACUUGUAAAACCCUGCCUUUUGAGUGCUGCAAAUACUGUGCUUGGGGAAGAAAGCCAAAGAAAGUUAUCAAAGAUUUCCUUAUCACAAACAUCAUUGCACCUUCUGAUGUAAUUAGAGCUUUCACCGAAAAAAUUAAUCUUUGGAAACGAAAAGUACAAGUUGGGAACUUUUCAUCGUUCUCACAUCUGAAUGAGCUCUUAUCUGAGACGAGAAAACUUGAGGAGUUUAUGCACUUACUGAGGAGUUUAUGCACUAUUUUCCAGAUGUCACAAUGGAGAAUUCUCUUUGGACAUUGGUGCAGAAUCCAUUUAACACUGAUGUGGAGUUGUUACUGGAAUCAUUGCAAGAGGAAGCCAUCGAUUUGAAAUGUGACUCGAGCGGGAAAAGGGACUUUGAAACAAUGAAGUUAGAAGAGUUUUGGGUGAAAUAUCUCUCCAUGUACCCAAAAGUAGGUGAAGAGCAACUUCGUGUGAUUCAUCCCUUUUCUUCUACUUAUCUUUGUGAAGCAGGGUUUUCAGCUCUUGUUGUCCUGAAAACAAAACAGCGCACUGACUUGAUGUAGAAAAUGACUUGCGUUGUGCGCUGUCAUCCUUCAAUCCUAGAAUUUCUAAUCUUUAGUUCAUAAAUUAGUUCAUAAAUUGUGCCUUAGUCUCAUGAGUCUUUCCAAAUAUUAUAAGCCAUGUUUUCAAAUCAUCUAUUCUUAAAAUUGCAAGUCAAUUUUGCCAAUUUGUCAAUGUUCAAACUUUUUUUUCGCUUCCUUUGAACCAAAUGUUUUGUUUUUAGUUACUUAGAAAAAUGUCUCUGGAAUGUACUAUUAUUUGUUUGAGUGGCUUUAAUUAUUAAAAUUUAAUACAAACAGA